UUCGGGGUACUCGAGUGGCGAACGGGUGAGUAACACGUGGGUGAUCUGCCCUGCACUUUGGGAUAAGCCUGGGAAACUGGGUCUAAUACCGAAUAUGACCAUGGCGUGCAUGUGCUGUGGUGGAAAGCUUUUGCGGUGUGGGAUGGGCCCGCGGCCUAUCAGCUUGUUGGUGGGGUUAAGGCCUACCAAGGCGACGACGGGUAGCCGGCCUGAGAGGGUGUCCGGCCACACUGGGACUGAGAUACGGCCCAGACUCCUACGGGAGGCAGCAGUGGGGAAUAUUGCACAAUGGGCGCAAGCCUGAUGCAGCGACGCCGCGUGGGGGAUGACGGCCUUCGGGUUGUAAACCCCUUUCAGUAGGGACGAAGCGCAAGUGACGGUACCUACAGAAGAAGCACCGGCCAACUACGUGCCAGCAGCCGCGGUAAUACGUAGGGUGCGAGCGUUGUCCGGAAUUACUGGGCGUAAAGAGCUCGUAGGUGGUUUGUCGCGUUGUCCGUGAAAACUCACAGCUCAACUGUGGGCGUGCGGGCGAUACGGGCAGACUGGAGUACUGCAGGGGAGACUGGAAUUCCUGGUGUAGCGGUGGAAUGCGCAGAUAUCAGGAGGAACACCGGUGGCGAAGGCGGGUCUCUGGGCAGUAACUGACGCUGAGGAGCGAAAGCGUGGGGAGCGAACAGGAUUAGAUACCCUGGUAGUCCACGCCGUAAACGGUGGGUACUAGGUGUGGGUUUCCUUCCUUGGGAUCCGUGCCGUAGCUAACGCAUUAAGUACCCCGCCUGGGGAGUACGGCCGCAAGGCUAAAACUCAAAGAAAUUGACGGGGGCCCGCACAAGCG
rnacentral:rRNA from 1 species